rnacentral:rRNA from 1 species
AUUGAACGCUGGCGGCAGGCCUAACACAUGCAAGUCGAGCGGAUGAAGGGAGCUUGCUCCUGGAUUCAGCGGCGGACGGGUGAGUAAUGCCUAGGAUUCUGCCUGGUAGUGGGGGAUAACGUCCGGAAACGGGCGCUAAUACCGCAUACGUCCUGAGGGAGAAAGUGGGGGAUCUUCGGACCUCACGCUAUCAGAUGAGCCUAGGUCGGAUUAGCUAGUUGGUGGGGUAAAGGCCUACCAAGGCGACGAUCCGUAACUGGUCUGAGAGGAUGAUCAGUCACACUGGAACUGAGACACGGUCCAGACUCCUACGGGAGGCAGCAGUGGGGAAUAUUGGACAAUGGGCGAAAGCCUGAUCCAGCCAUGCCGCGUGUGUGAAGAAGGUCUUCGGAUUGUAAAGCACUUUAAGUUGGGAGGAAGGGCAGUAAGUUAACACCUUGCUGUUUUGACGUUACCAACAGAAUAAGCACCGGCUAACUUCGUG